AAUCAACGCUGGCGGCGUGCCUCAGACAUGCAAGUCGAACGCGAAAGUCCCCUUCGGGGAUGAUUAGAGUGGCGCACGAGUGAGUAACACGUAGGUAAUCUACCUUCGAGGUGGGGAAUAACUCAGGGAAACUUGAGCUAAUACCGCAUAAUGCAGCGGCACCACAUGGUGACAGUUGUUAAAGCAUUUAUGCGCUUGAAGAGGAGCCUGGCGGCGGAUUAGCUAGUUGGUAAGGUAAUGGCUUACCAAGGCUACGAUCUGUAACCGGCCUGAGAGGGCGGACGGCCACACUGACACUGAAUAACGGGUCAGACCCCUACGGGAGGCAGCAGUCGGG
rnacentral:rRNA from 1 species